CAGUCGUGAGGAAGGCGGGUACGUUAAUAGCGUAUUCGUUUGACGUUAGCGACAGAAGAAAGCACCGGCUAACUCCGUGCCAGCAGCCGCGGUAAUACGGAGGGUGCGAGCGUUAAUCGGAAUUACUGGGCGUAAAGCGCAUGCAGGUGGUUUGUUAAGUCAGAUGUGAAAGACCCGGGGCGUCAACCUCGGAAUAGCAUUUGAAACUAGGCAGACUAGAGUACUGUAGAGGGGGGUAGGAAUUUCAGGUGUAGCGGUGAAAUAGCGUAGAGAUCUGAAGGAAUACCGGUGGCGAAGGCGGCCCCCUCGGACAGAUACUGACACUCAGAUGCGAAAGCGUGGGGAGCAAACAGGAUUAGAUACCCUGGUAG
rnacentral:rRNA from 1 species